UAGAUGAAACACGGCGUUUCCAUUUAGGUCAGACCCGUGUUCUUCUUCGCCUCUACCUCUAGAGAGCUCAUGCGCAGGCAAAUCUUUUCAUCUUCAUCCUCAGAGCACGAAACGAUACCAGUUACCGAAUAAUCCUCUUGAAAUCCUCCAUUAAUCAAUCACCCACUAUCUAUAUUCAAUGCAAGUUCUGAAUCUGCAAGGCGGUACUAGCUGUUCCUCCUCAACUGUUCUGUUCAAGCCCCGUUGCUCCAUUUUUCCGAGAGGAUAUUAAUAUAAGCCGUGGUGGAGAUCUCAUGGGAGUGGAUAUGUUCCUACUAGAUUCUCAGAUAUCACAGGUUCAUCUAAUUACUAUAGCUAAUGGCCAGGAUGUGGUUGUUCAAGUUCAGCACAAUGGUAUUAUAUACUAUAGCUAAUGGCCAGGAUGUGGUUGUUCAAGUUCAGCACAAUGGUAUUAUAGCGAUCAUUGGAGGUAUUUUAAUUCUUUUGAAGCCUUUCAAAUGACUAGAAAUUUUUUCCACUCUUCUCUCAUCAGUUCUUAGGAUGAUCUGAAGAAUGCAAAGUCCAUCGUUAACUGGGUUCUGGAUUAUGUAACGGGACCACAGUUCGAUUUUGACCCUGUGAAAUAUGAAUAUUGCAAGCAAUCUCCAAGACAACUAUACUUCAGUAUGAAAGACGGUUGCUGACUACUAUCGAGAUAAACUCUAUUUUGCUUGGGCUGAAGAGAUCGCAUGAAAGACGAGUUAUGCAAGAGGAGCACAUGAGAGUUUAGGCAGUUCCAGUGGUAGAAAAUCUUCUGUAGCUGUUUUCUUAGCGUUGGUGGUGAGUUUGGAAGAGAAGCCGGCAGAGCUGCUGCUAUAGACAACUUUACAUAAGACAUAUUUGACAAUGAUUAUAUACUUUUCCAAAUAAUCUGAUAUAGAGUUAUAUCACCUUUGGUAUUAUUAUGCAUAUAACCAGUAUGCAACUUCCAGAGAUAUAAUGUGUGUUCAAUUUAUAUUAUUUUAGCAAUAACCAACAAUUAUUAUUUUCAUAAUUAUCUAUUUUCCGUUUAUCAGUAACCAA